GACGAACGCUGGCGGCGUGCCUAAUACAUGCAAGUAGAACGCUGAAGGAGGAGCUUGCUUCUCCGGAUGAGUUGCGAACGGGUGAGUAACGCGUAGGUAACCUGCCUGGUAGCGGGGGAUAACUAUUGGAAACGAUAGCUAAUACCGCAUAACAGUAGAUAUUGCAUGAUAUCUGCUUGAAAGGUGCAAUUGCAUCACUACCAGAUGGACCUUCGUUGUAUUAGCUAGUUGGUGAGGUAACGGCUCACCAAGGCGACGAUACAUAGCCGACCUGAGAGGGGGAUCGGCCACACUGGGACUGAGACACGGCCCAGACUCCUACGGGAGGCAGCAGUAGGGAAUCUUCGGCAAUGGACGGAAGUCUCACAGAGCAACGCCGCGUGAGUGAAGAAGGUUUUCGGAUCGUAAAGCUCUGUUGUAAGAGAAGAACGAGUGUGAGAGUGGAAAGUUCACACUGUGACGGUAUCUUACCAGAAAGGGACGGCUAACUACGUG
rnacentral:rRNA from 1 species